GAACCGUACGAACGUUAUUCGGAAUCACUGGGCUUAAAGGGUGCGUAGGCGGCGCGGAAAGUUGGGUGUGAAAUCCCCCGGCUCAACCGGGGAAUGGCGCCCAAAACUACCGUGCUCGAGGGAGACAGAGGUGAGCGGAACUUAGGGUGGAGCGGUGAAAUGCGUUGAUAUCCUAAGGAACACCAGUGGCGAAAGCGGCUCACUGGGUCUCUUCUGACGCUCAUGCACGAAAGCUAGGGUAGCGAACGGGAUUAGAUACCCCGGUAGUCCUAGCUGUAAACGAUGAGCACUGGGUUGGAGGGUCCUCCAUAGCCUUCCAGCCGCAGCGAAAGUGUUAAGUGCUCCGCCUGGGGAGUAUGGUCGCAAGGCUGAA
rnacentral:rRNA from 1 species